GGCGCUGUGACGUCAUACUCCCGCGACGCACUUCUUCUGCUCUCUUGUGAUCCGGCUGAAGAAAGAAAUCCUCCUGGUGAAGCGAGAUGGCGUUUAUUAAACAGGAGAGUGAAGACCUGAGGAUUGUAGAAGUAUUCAGCUUGAAACAUGAAGAGACUGAGGAACAAACAGGCCCUGUUAACACUGUUGGACCACUGGCAUUCUACGUGAGAUCUGCCAGAGCCUUUUCACAACCUAGAAGGUCACCAUGUGCCUAAAUCCAGAGUCCAAGUGUCAGAAUCGUAAUGGAUGGAGACAUGGGCGACAUUUGACUGUCGAGUCAGGGGGGACAAGAAAAAAUGCAUACAUUUUUGGAUGUAUGCAUCAAAAUGUGCUACCAUAUUGCAACGCAUUGUGUCAAUACAGCGCAGUGAAGAAUAACUUAAAGAGUUUGCCUGCGUUUACUUAACUGUGGAGCUUUUCUUGCUGCUGAUUUGAAUGCCGAUGUUUCCCGUUUUAAAUGUCAGUUGAUGGCCUUUCAUUUUUAACCAGAAAUGUACGCGCUGCUUUUCUGAUGUUCAUUUAAGUUUUCCGUGUCUUUUUCCCAUGUCACUUGAAAUAUGUCCGUUUUGAAUCAUUGUGGUGAGACACGAGAGAAAAAAAUAAACCAUCA